UCCGAAUUAGUGUAGGGGUUAACAUAACUCGCUUUCAUUAUCUUAUGAUAUGGUACCGAGUAGCCCCGGGUUCGAUUCCCGGAUUCGGAA
rnacentral:tRNA from 1 species